GAAGUUCCUUUUCCAGAGUUCUCACCUACUAAUUUGGCUAACAUUACCAAUGGUAACAGACCCCAUGUAUCCGCCACAAUUGUUGUGAGUUGCACAGGAAAAAGACUGGGAGGAAAUCUUCACUUUUCUUCUGCAACAGCAACCAACAGAAAUGAAAGAGCCAGGGGAUUUUGCAAAAUAUCAACUCCUGAGAACUAAGAAUGAGAGCCUUUCCUGCCAAGUCCAUUCUGUGCCAGUCAUCAUAAAAUAUGACCCUUCCUUCCAGAAGAACAAUGCGCUGUGAUCUUUGGCUACUCAAGCUUUACAUCAUCCAUAUUACCCUGCAGCAGGAACAGAUUGAUGGGUAUUUUCACUGCCCCCAGAGAGUUACCCUCUAAUCCUUCAUUUGCUGCUCCAGCACAAUUGCACGGAAGCAAUAGCAGGGAUAGUUAGAGUGCAUACAAUUGAUUCCAAUCCAUCCAUCACUUAAACUACUGUCUAGGACAUCAGGAGGCCACA
rnacentral:lncRNA from 1 species